UCCGGCUUGGCGCCGGCAGUCUCCCUAGAGUCCCCACCAUUACGUGCUGGCAACUAAGAUCAAGGGUUGCGCUCGUUGCGGGACUUAACCCAACAUCUCACGACACGAGCUGACGACAACCAUGCACCACCUGUCACUCUGUCCCCCGAAGGGAGGGUGUGUUUCCACACCUGUCCGGUGCAUGUCAAACCUGGGUAAGGUUCUUCGCGUUGCAUCGAAUUAAACCACAUGCUCCACCGCUUGUGCGGGCCCCCGUCAAUUCCUUUGAGUUUUAAUCUUGCGACCGUACUCCCCAGGCGGGAUGCUUAAAGCGUUAGCGGCGCCACCGAAGAGCAAGCUCCCCGACGGCUAGCAUCCAUCGUUUACGGCGUGGACUAC
rnacentral:misc_RNA from 1 species